rnacentral:rRNA from 1 species
ACCAUAAGAGUGUUUUAGUAUCUGCUCAGGACGAACGCUGGCGGCGUGCCUAAUACAUGCAAGUCGAGCGGACAGAAGGGAGCUUGCUCCCGGAUGUUAGCGGCGGACGGGUGAGUAACACGUGGGUAACCUGCCUGUAAGACUGGGAUAACUCCGGGAAACCGGAGCUAAUACCGGAUAGUUCCUUGAACCGCAUGGUUCAAGGAUGAAAGACGGUUUCGGCUGUCACUUACAGAUGGACCCGCGGCGCAUUAGCUAGUUGGUGGGGUAAUGGCUCACCAAGGCGACGAUGCGUAGCCGACCUGAGAGGGUGAUCGGCCACACUGGGACUGAGACACGGCCCAGACUCCUACGGGAGGCAGCAGUAGGGAAUCUUCCGCAAUGGACGAAAGUCUGACGGAGCAACGCCGCGUGAGUGAUGAAGGUUUUCGGAUCGUAAAGCUCUGUUGUUAGGGAAGAACAAGUGCGAGAGUAACUGCUCGCACCUUGACGGUACCUAACCAGAAAGCCACGGCUAACUACGUGCCAGCAGCCGCGGUAAUACGUAGGUGGCAAGCGUUGUCCGGAAUUAUUGGGCGUAAAGGGCUCGCAGGCGGUUUCUUAAGUCUGAUGUGAAAGCCCCCGGCUCAACCGGGGAGGGUCAUUGGAAACUGGGACACUUGAGCGCAGAAGAGGAGAGUGGAAUUCCACGUGUAGCGGUGAAAUGCGUAGAGAUGUGGAGGAUACUUUUAUUUGUCUCAGUGGCGAAGGCGACUCUCUGGUCUGUAACUGACGCUGAGGAGCGAAAGCGUGGGGAGCGAACAGGAUUAGAUACCCUGGUAGUCCACGCCGUAAACGAUGAGUGCUAAGUGUUAGGGGGUUUCCGCCCCUUAGUGCUGCAGCUAACGCAUUAAGCACUCCGCCUGGGGAGUACGGUCGCAAGACUGAAACUCAAAGGAAUUGACGGGGGCCCGCACAAGCGGUGGAGCAUGUGGUUGGAUGCGAAGCAACGCGAAGAACCUUACCAGGUCUUGACAUCCUCUGACAACCCUAGAGAUAGGGCUUUCCCUUCGGGGACAGAGUGACAGGUGGUGCAUGGUUGUCGUCAGCUCGUGUCGUGAGAUGUUGGGUUAAGUCCCGCAACGAGCGCAACCCUUGAUCUUAGUUGCCAGCAUUCAGUUGGGCACUCUAAGGUGACUGCCGGUGACAAACCGGAGGAAGGUGGGGAUGACGUCAAAUCAUCAUGCCCCUUAUGACCUGGGCUACACACGUGCUACAAUGGACAGAACAAAGGGCUGCAAGACCGCAAGGUUUAGCCAAUCCCAUAAAUCUGUUCUCAGUUCGGAUCGCAGUCUGCAACUCGACUGCGUGAAGCUGGAAUCGCUAGUAAUCGCGGAUCAGCAUGCCGCGGUGAAUACGUUCCCGGGCCUUGUACACACCGCCCGUCACACCACGAGAGUUUGCAACACCCGAAGUCGGUGAGGUAACCUUUAUGGAGCCAGCCGCCGAAGGUGGGGCAGAUGAUUGGGGUGAAGUCGUACAAAAGGUAAUCAAUAGGAGUUUGAUCCUGG